rnacentral:rRNA from 1 species
AAAUAAAUAAUUAUUUAUUUAUAUUAAUUAUGAAAAAUUUAAAAAAAAUAAUUUUUAUUUUUAUUAAUAUUUUAUGAAAAAAUAUAAUUUAUGAUAGUUUAUUAGUAUUGUGAAAGAAAGAAUUAAUUUGUGAAAAAGAAAAUUUUAUUUUUUGUACCUUGUGUAUCAGGGUUUAUUAAUUAAAAAUUAUAUAUUAUAAUUUUCUCGAAUCAAAAAGAGUUAUAAUUUUAUAUUUUUUAUUGUUGAAUAAAUAUUAUAAAUAAAAUUAUGGAAGUGAAAUGCUAGUCGAUUUUUGAUAUAUCUAGUUUUUAAAGAAAAAAAUUUAAUUUUUUUUAUAUUUAUUAUUAAAAUUAAUAGUAAUUAUUAUAAUAAUAUAAUUUUAAAUUUUUAGGGAUGAGCUUAAAAAUUGAUCUAUAUAAUUUAAUUAAAACUAAUUAAUAAGUAGAAUUAUAAGUUUUUAUCUUUCAAAGUGUUUUAUAACUGUUUAAAUAUAAAAUAAAGAUUUAUAUAAAUAUUUAUAUUUUUUAUUUAAAUUUAAAUUUUAAUGGAAAAAAUUUAGAAAUUAUGAUAAAAUUAGUAUAAAAUUAUUUAUAAUAUAGAUUAAUUUUUUAGGUUAAUUAAAGGAACUCGGCAAAUAUAUUUUUCACCUGUUUAUUAAAAACAUGGCCUUUUGAUUAUAAUUUAAGGUCGAGCCUGCCCAAUGAGUAGUUAAAUGGCUGCGGUAAUUUGACCGUGCAAAGGUAGCAUAAUCAUUAGUUUUUUAAUUGAAAGCUGGAAUGAAAGGUUUGAUGAGAAAAUAACUGUCUCUAAUUAAAUUAGUUAGAAAUUUAUUUUUAAGUAAAAAAGCUUAAAUUUGUAUAGAAGACGAGAAGACCCUAUAGAGUUUUAUAUAGGUUUAUAUUUAUGUUUUUUAGAAUUAGUAUUUAAAUAUAAGUCUUUAUUUAGUUGGGGUGAUUGAAAAAUUAAGAGAACUUUUUUUGUAAGAGAACAUUAAUUUAUGAGUAAUUGAUCCAAAAAUUUUGAUUAUAAGAAUAAAUUACCUUAGGGAUAACAGCGUAAUUUUUUUUUAGAGAUCUAAUCGAAAAAAAAGAUUGCGACCUCGAUGUUGGAUUAAAAUAAAGGAUUGGUGUAGGAGCUAAUCUGUUAGGUCUGUUCGACCUUUAAAAUUUUACAUGAUCUGAGUUUAAACCGGCGUAAGCCAGGUUGGUUUCUAUCUCUAUAAAAAUAAAAUAUUUUAGUACGAAAGGACCAAGUAUUUAAUUUAAAAUUUUAAUUUGGAAUAAUAUUA